AUAACUCAGAAAACACACCAGUGUCUACACAAGGAGCCCAGAGGCACCUUACCCCUUGUCUGACUUUCCUGAGGUCCUGAUGGCAACUCUGGAUAGGCAAGCUGUUGAUCUGGAUCUUGAUAUGAACCUUGCACUUUGGUGACAGCAGAAGCCACCUUGUCUGACUGUCAGCACAGAUAACAAGUGGAGGAAUUAAUCAUCUCAGGGACUGUAACUCCAUGAUAAUUACAUACAAAUGCAAAAAUAAAUCACAGCUUGUGUGAAUCAACACAGACAGGUGAUUGAGAGCAACCAAAAAAACCACAGCUGAAAUACAAAGAGUAAAUUCAUUCCAUUGCCUUGCUGGAUGAAGGAGCCCAAAGUGUUGGGCUGCAGAGACACGCUACACAGGGACACAGGAUCAAAAAUACCCAUAUUCUCCUUCAGAGCUGUGUUUUUCUUGUACUUGACUGGUUUGCCUUUACCAAGCAGACUGCAGAAAGGCCAGGAGAGGAGUGCAAGGAAGAAAGGGCAAGGUGGGAUGGUGCAGAAAUGGUUGCAAGUGGCAACUCCUGGGGACCUAGCAUCUCAUCAGGAUACCAAGGCUUGUUACAGAGUAGAAAUCAGGAAUCAGAAGUUCAGCCCUCAUGACGGAUUGUGUUAAAAGAUAAAAAGGCUGAUUCCUGUACAACUAAGAGAGACAGCAGCCCAGGGAUCAGGGAAGAGCUUUUGAAGUCUAGACAGGAGCUCUUAUCCCUGCUCUGCCACUCUUGGGUGACCCUAGUGAAGUGUUGAUUUGCUAAUCUUCAGCUGGGCAAGCUUGCCGCAGUAUUUACUGUUAAAUAUCUGCAGACAAGAAGAGCACAACAUAGCAAUAACUCCCAAAUUAAACCCUGCAGUGUUCACAGGGGUUCAUCCCUCAGCUUUGCACUGAUUUUCAGAGAUGAGCUGUCCCAUGCUACAAGAGAGGCAGAACAUGGGGCAAGACUCAGCAACACAUAUAGCACAGCCUGAGGGAUGCUUAUGCUAUUAAUCAUGAGCUUGAGCCAAAUAAGCCCCAUUUUCACGAGGUGCAUUUGCUGGAAAAGCAAAAGCCACUGCAGUAGCCAAGCAAGGUCACACGUUUCAGAAUCUACUGCAGUGUCUGGGCUUCCUGGAAGACUCAUAAAAGCCAUCAUCCAGAUACAGAAAAUAUUGUUUAAUGGAGCAAAAGGUUAUCAGUGGUCCUCAGUGUGCAGUUGAUAGGGAGCAUGGCUUGUUGCAGGCCAGUGAGAUGCCCCUAAGAGUGGACCACUGAGGCCUGGCGCAGGAGGGCUGCUGAAGUGACCACAGAGGUCAGUUCAGGCUCAUCAGCUCCAUGGUACCAGCCACACUGGGAGAGUAAGAAAUCCCUCCCUUUUCUGGAGCUGGAUCCUCUCCUAAUGGUAAUGGGACACUCAGAAAGAAAGCAUUUACUUAGAAAAACAUCAUCAUCUGUCUGAGCCAUGGCAGUAAUAAAGCUUCUGUUGCCAGAAUUCACUUACAUUGAGUGAUGAUUCUUAGAGCAUUUUUCCUGUGAAUUCCCCUGGUACGUUAA